rnacentral:rRNA from 1 species
GCCAGACUCCUACGGGAGGCAGCAGUGGGGAAUAUUGCACAAUGGGGGAAACCCUGAUGCAGCGACGCCGCGUGAGUGAAGAAGUAUUUCGGUAUGUAAAGCUCUAUCAGCAGGAACGAGACAAGACGGUACCUGACUAAGAAGCCCCGGCUAACUACGUGCCAGCAGCCGCGGUAAUACGUAGGGGGCAAGCGUUAUCCGGAAUCACUGGGUGUAAAGGGAGCGUAGACGGCUGAGCAAGCCUGAAGUGAAAGGCGGGGGCCCAACCCCCGGACUGCUUUGGGAACUGUACGGCUGGAGUGCAGGAGAGGUAAGUGGAAUUCCUAGUGUAGCGGUGAAAUGCGUAGAUAUUAGGAGGAACACCAGUGGCGAAGGCGGCUUACUGGACUGUAACUGACGUUGAGGCUCGAAAGCGUGGGGAGCAAACAGGAUUAGAUACCCGCGUAUG